CCACCACCAAAGCAUUUGCUGUACCGCGUUGACGGAGCGAAGCGACGUCAAACCGAUAAAACAGCAGUGUAAAGUGAGCCGCAGGGCGCUUUGCGCGACAGCGCAAAGGCAGGCGGUUUCGCGUAGCGAAAGCGAAUGCUUUGGGGUGGGGUGACUGCGUACCUUUUGUAUAAUGGGUCAGCGACUUAUAUUCUGUAGCAAGGUUAACCGAAUAGGGGAGCCGGAGGGAAACCGAGUCUUAAUUGGGCGUUAAGUUGCAGGGUAUAGACCCGAAACCCGGUGAUCUAGCCAUGGGCAGGUUGAAGGUUGGGUAACACUAACUGGAGGACCGAACCGACUAAUGUUGAAAAAUUAGCGGAUGACCUGUGGCUGGGGGUGAAAGGCCAAUCAAACCGGGAGAUAGCUGGUUCUCCCCGAAAGCUAUUUAGGUAGCGCCUCGUGAAUUCAUCUCCGGGGGUAGAGCACUGUUUCGGCUAGGGGGCCAUCCCGGCUUACCAACCCGAUGCAAACUGCGAAUACCGGAGAAUGUUAUCACGGGAGACACACGGCGGGUGCUAACGUCCGUCGUGAAGAGGGAAACAACCCAGACCGCCAGCUAAGGUCCCAAAGUCAUGGUUAAGUGGGAAACGAUGUGGGAAGGCCCAGACAGCCAGGAUGUUGGCUUAGAAGCAGCCAUCAUUUAAAGAAAGCGUAAUAGCUCACUGGUCGAGUCGGCCUGCGCGGAAGAUGUAACGGGGCUAAACCAUGCACCGAAGCUGCGGCAGCGACACUGUGUGUUGUUGGGUAGGGGAGCGUUCUGUAAGCCUGUGAAGGUGUGUCGUGAGGCAUGCUGGAGGUAUCAGAAGUGCGAAUGCUGACAUAAGUAACGAUAAAGCGGGUGAAAAGCCCGCUCGCCGGAAGACCAAGGGUUCCUGUCCAACGUUAAUCGGGGCAGGGUGAGUCGACCCCUAAGGCGAGGCCGAAAGGCGUAGUCGAUGGGAAACGGGUUAAUAUUCCCGUACUUGGUGUUACUGCGAAGGGGGGACGGAGAAGGCUAUGUUGGCCGGGCGACGGUUGUCCCGGUUUAAGCGUGUAGGUGUGUGUUCCAGGUAAAUCCGGUUCACUUUAACACUGAGGCGUGACGACGAGGCACUACGGUGCUGAAGCAACAAAUGCCCUGCUUCCAGGAAAAGCCUCUAAGCAUCAGGUAACAUCAAAUCGUACCCCAAACCGACACAGGUGGUCAGGUAGAGAAUACCAAGGCGCUUGAGAGAACUCGGGUGAAGGAACUAGGCAAAAUGGUGCCGUAACUUCGGGAGAAGGCACGCUGACACGUAGGUGAAGUGAUUUACUCAUGGAGCUGAAGUCAGUCGAAGAUACCAGCUGGCUGCAACUGUUUAUUAAAAACACAGCACUGUGCAAACACGAAAGUGGACGUAUACGGUGUGACGCCUGCCCGGUGCCGGAAGGUUAAUUGAUGGGGUCAGCGCAAGCGAAGCUCCUGAUCGAAGCCCCGGUAAACGGCGGCCGUAACUAUAACGGUCCUAAGGUAGCGAAAUUCCUUGUCGGGUAAGUUCCGACCUGCACGAAUGGCGUAAUGAUGGCCAGGCUGUCUCCACCCGAGACUCAGUGAAAUUGAACUCGCUGUGAAGAUGCAGUGUACCCGCGGCAAGACGGAAAGACCCCGUGAACCUUUACUAUAGCUUGACACUGAACAUUGAGCCUUGAUGUGUAGGAUAGGUGGGAGGCUUUGAAGUGUGGACGCCAGUCUGCAUGGAGCCGACCUUGAAAUACCACCCUUUAAUGUUUGAUGUUCUAACGUGGACCCGUUACCCGGGUUGCGGACAGUGUCUGGUGGGUAGUUUGACUGGGGCGGUCUCCUCCUAAAGAGUAACGGAGGAGCACGAAGG
rnacentral:rRNA from 1 species